AACUUUUCUCCUAUUUCACAUAACGCCCCCUCCUUCCUUCCACGGUACGAUUCAUAAUUUUCUUCUACACAAUGUCUUUUUCUUCCAUAUUAAGAUUCACAAACCCUAAUUCUCAACUAAACUCUUGAGCCGCUUCUCUCUGUUUUGAUAUCUAACAUGUCUGCUCUGUUUCAUCCACAUUUUCUAUGUCCUUAUCCUUUUUCAGUUUAGGGUUUCUAUUUACCCCCUUCAUAUUAUUUAAUUGAAGAACAAUUAUUGGGUCUCUAUUGUUCUAAUUCGCUUCUUCUAAUCGAGAUCUAUUUAUCAGAAGUUGCACAAUACUAAUGGGAUUCUAAUCCUCUUUGAUCGAUUUGUGUAUUAAACGAUCAGUAAGAUAGGAUGACUCCUCAAUUGGGUUUUUAUGCUCUCGGUAUUCUUGAUAAAGAGACGCAGAGGUUGAAGACCAUUAAGAUUGAAGGCAAUAUGAUAUCAUCUUUUAUCCCCAUUUCCAUAUUUUAUACAGAAUGCUAAAUGUGAUUUUGAAACGUGUUCAUGUGAUAUGAUUGAAGAUUAAUAUGCUAAUAAUUGAUUGAUUGAUUGAGUUUUUGAUUCUUCUAAUGUUCUGAUUGUUAAUUAUUGCCUGGUCAAUUACUUAUGCUGAUUUCAAUUAUGGCUUCUCCGCUUGGUUGUUUUUAGUUAUUGCCUUGGUUAGCGCUGCCUUGCUGAGUUAACUAGGUUGUUUAAUUGUGUGUUUUUUCAUGGGCCAUAUUUGCACUAAGGUCAGUUCAAUACAUAACCUAGGUACCAAAAUCAGUUUGUUCAUUUGAAAUCCAAUUUCUUUGAGUCUUGAUCUGCAAAUGGGGUGAUUUGUUUUGGUGUCCAGCACAGCCGCAAGCUUGAUCCAGGGCUCGAUAGAUGAUUCUUUUUUCUUCAUUCGAUCAAAAAUAGGAGAUUUUCGAUCUUCCUCCAGGCAAAAAACCAUUAGAUUGGAUCUCAAGGAUGAAAGUUGCAGCAAGAGACGCACAUGCUGUGGAGCAUUUACAUAAAAAGGUUAAUCCACCAGUUCUAUGUGGCAAUGUUAGAUCUACAAAUCUUUUCUUAGACAGAAACUUUGAGCCGAAGGCUGCGGAUUACGGGCUUGUGAAUCUAGAAAGCUCAUCCGGUAGUAAUGUGCAUAAAAGGGUGGUGGGAUCAGUUGGUUGUGCUCCAGAAUCCGAACAUACGAGUGUAUUCAAAGUAAUUUAGAGUAAAUUACAAGAAUUAUGGUUUAAUGAUUGAAAUUAUCAAUGUAAUUUAGAGUAAAUUACAAGAAUUAUUCGUGUAGGUUUAGGAUUAUUAUAUCUUGAAGAAACAAUUAGAUAAGAUCUUUUUUGUUAUAAUUAUAAUUUAGUUCUUUAAAAAGUACUUAAAUAAACUGGUGGCAUAUCGCAAGUCUAUAAUUUGUAUAUGAUCUGUCUUUUAUUGUUUUAUGGUGAAUCAUUGAUAUGUCUUUGUUUAAAUUGGUGGUAUAUCGCAAGUCUAUAGUUUGGCGGCAACCCGUUUUGAUGGUAGUGGAGCAUUAAAUACUGGUGUAAUUGAGAGAAAAGGUUGAUCUGGAGGUCGCAAGCUUGAAGGAUUCUUCAACAACGGUGGUAAAGAAAGAAAACAAUGUAGCAACUUCCCAACGACAAUUUCCACCUUAACUGAUACUACACUGGCAGUGACUCCCGCUAUCAGCAGUGAAGACGCCACAUCAGAAGAUGAAAGCCAGUCGCAAACAAGCAAUGGCAGUUUAUGGUGAUGGAAACAAGCACGAAGUUUUCAAUACGUCUUUAACUUGGAGAGUUUACCAUGUUAGAACUUGCUCAGGUAUUUUAUUUAGGUCACAUGUGUUGUUUGGUGUCUUAUCGAUGGCUGAGGUCUUUUGGAGAGAAAUGGGAUUCGGGUCAUUCCUCCGAUAAACUUCUUGGCAGGCGUCGACCUCAAAUACAGUCAAAAUGAUGGUAUUGUAGUUCGCGACAAAGGGCGGUGGCGGCUCUAGGGUUCCGGCUGUUGAACCCGGCAACUACCACAAGCCACGUUUCAUUUCAUCCCACUUAAUAUUUUCUCCUCUGACUUUGCCGCUUUUCUUCUCCACCACCUAGACGAAUGAUUCAUCAACAAAGGUUGUAUUGAGCUAUGGAACAUAUACUUGGAGCUUCUAGAACACUAAGGUUUUCGCCGAACCUCUAUUCUCUAUAUUUUUGGCCAUUAUAUUCGCUAUACAUUUACCAAAAAUGGUAAACCGUCAUUUGAUCUUCUUGCUGUGAUGCGAUUAUUGGCAACCCUUAUAAACUUAUAAAAAUCAGUAAUGAAAAUUGUAUGCCUUUCCUAAUUUAUUAAAUGUCUACUUCAUAUUUUUGAACUUAUGUAAUUAGAAGUAUGAAAAGGAGCCGGUCGGCGUAACGGGUCAAAAUAGCGUAGUCUUGAUAAUAUUUAUGCAUUAAAAAUGACUUGGGUGACUUCCGACCCAUAUACUCUCUACAACUAUAUAUUUAUAUCUUUUUGAUCCUUUAGAGACAACAUAACCUCAAGCUAUCCACUCAUAAUUACACAUUCCAAAUUACCACCUUUAAAUGUGAUUUAGUUAUCUGAUAUAGCUGGGAAUGGAUAAAUCCAUCUUUAGUAAUCCAAAGACAUUUCACUUAACUGUGCUUAUGCUAAAGUGGUGGAACAAGGAGAGUCGACGCCGCUAUUAAGAUAUUCCAGCUCACUUUCAUCGUUGCAAAGCAACACAAAUGUUUAAAAACAAAGCUUAGUGCCGAAGAUGAAGAAACAAAAGUGUCGUAUGAGGGAGCAAAUACAUAUAUUAAGUAUAAAAUAAGGGGAAUUCGAUUGAAGAAGACGUAUUGUGGUUACAAAAUGAAAAGACAAAUUCAGAUCAUGUUGACUAGAAUUAACAUUAUUCUCCAUCAUCUAGGAAAAAGGGUGCUCAUCGCUUCAUAUAGGAACCCUAAAACAACUGAUUACAACCCAAUGGUCGAGGAAGUUAGUUUUAGUUGUCACUUGGAACUCCAUUUCACUAUAGUUACGCAUAACAGAUAUGGGGCACUUUCUGAGUUAAUCGUGACUUUUGCAAUGUAACAAUUGCAUAAAGGGCCGUAGGUACUCAUUAUUAGUUUUUAUUAUACACUUUAAAUCGUUUAUAUACCUACAUCAGCCCGGUGGCAAUGGGUAGUUCAAUCAUCAGAACUUCCAAGAACCUUCACACCCUUAAAAAACCUAAAUGCAUCAGAUGUGGCUACGACACCAUUCCAGGAGGUUGAAGAAACGGGCCUCGAUUGUCACUGUCUCAGUUGCAGAAAAUAACCGUUAUAUGGUUGAACCCGAGCCCAUAUAACAAAGUGCUAGAAGGAGCGUGCAUUGGUAACAAAAUAUUCUUUUGUGGACUUUUUUUGCGGGUACUACUUAUCAUUAAACAACUUUUGCAAGAGAAUAUA